rnacentral:lncRNA from 1 species
CGUACCUGCCGCACCAGAUGCCGCCGGCGCUGAAGCCGUACCGCGACGACGAGCUCCGGAACCUGAGGGGCGACGACCAGCAGGGGCCCUACCUGGACCACGACCGCGUCUACCGCUACGACGUCUACAACGACCUCGGCGACUCCCGCGACGUCCUCGGCGGCUCCAAGGACCUCCCCUACCCGCGCCGCUGCCGCACCGGCCGGAAGCCCUCGGACAGCAGUGCGUGUCUCCUUCCUUUCGAUCUCCCCAUAACGUGUACUUGGUCUGACAAGCAUGUGUGGCCGACGCAGAGCCCGACCACGAGAGCCGGCUGCUGCCGCUGGUGCAGAACGUCUACGUGCCGCGCGACGAGCUCUUCGGCCACCUCAAGCAGUCGGACUUCCUGGGCUACACGCUCAAGGCGCUGGUGGACGGGAUCAUACCGGCCAUCCGCACCUACGUCGACCUCUCCCCCGGCGAGUUCGACUCCUUCGCCGACAUCCUAAAGCUCUACGAGGGCGGCAUCAAGCUGCCCAACAUCCCCGCCCUCGAGGAGGUGCGCAAGCGCUUCCCGCUCCAGCUCGUCAAGGACCUCAUCCCCAAGGGCGGCGACUUCCUCCUCAAGCUCCCCAAGCCGGAGAUCAUCAAGGUAGACCAGAAAGCGUGGAUGACUGACGAGGAGUUCGCCAGGGAGAUGCUCGCCGGCGUCAACCCCAUGAUGAUCAAACGGCUCACCGUGAGUGACCCACUCCAUCUACCGGCCAUUGAACAAAAUCGUCCAUACAUGUCACUAAUCAAUACUCACACCGUUUUGACCGCGUGUGCAGGAGUUCCCUCCCAAGAGCACUCUGGAUCCGAGCAAGUACGGCGACCACACCAGCACCAUGACCGAGGAGCACGUGGCCAAGAGCCUGGAGGGCCUCACCGUGCAGCAGGCGCUCGCCGGCAACAGGCUCUACAUCGUAGACCAGCACGACAACCUGAUGCCGUUCCUGAUCGACAUCAACAACCUCGACGCCAGCUUCGUGUACGCCACAAGGACGCUGCUCUUCCUGCGAGGGGACGGCACGCUGGCGCCGGUCGCCAUCGAGCUGAGCUCGCCGCUGAUCCAGGGCGACCUGACCACCGCCAAGAGCGCCGUGUACACGCCGCAGCACGCCGGCGUGGAGGGCUGGAUAUGGCAACUCGCCAAGGCCUACGCCUCCGUGAACGACUACGGGUGGCACCAGCUCAUCAGCCACUGGCUCAACACGCACGCCGUCAUGGAGCCCUUCGUCAUCGCCACCAACAGGCAGCUCAGCGU